rnacentral:rRNA from 1 species
CAGUCAGAAUUGUGAUCUCAUGCAACUAGUACUUAUUGCCUUAUAAAUAGCGUAUAUAUAUAAAGUACUUUUUGUGGACAUUGGGGGGUCGUGAAGACUUUAUCAGUGAGUUUUUGUUCUCGGAAGGACUAGAUAUGAAUAUUGAAUAAUCAGACAUAGUACGCAAAGGUUGUAUGUCUAAAGGGAAACAGCCCAGAACAAGAGUUAAUAAGGUUCCAAAAUUAUUGUUAAGUGAAAUUGAGGCAGUAUUUGUUCUAAACAGCCAGGCAAUAGGCUUAGAAGCGGCCAUUUUCUGAAGACCUCGUAACAGAGCACUGGUUUUAUUUAUAAUAAGGAUAAAAGCACCGAUAAUUUAACGGAUCUAAACAAUAUACCGAGACCUUGUCUAAAUAUAUUAAUGUUUACAUACAUUACAUUGUAUAUUUAGGGUAGCAGAACGUUGGUUAGGUAUAUUAUUACGCCUUGAUAAGGCAUAGNAGGUGUAUAUAUGUAUAUAUAUGUAUAUADGCCGGUGCACCCNGGGNGANNGCGCCGGCAUGNGUCACG